rnacentral:rRNA from 1 species
AUUGAACGCUGGCGGCAUGCCUUACACAUGCAAGUCGAACGGUAACGCGGGGCAACCUGGCGACGAGUGGCGAACGGGUGAGUAAUGUAUCGGAACGUGCCCAGUUGUGGGGGAUAACUGCUCGAAAGAGCAGCUAAUACCGCAUACGACCUGAGGGUGAAAGCGGGGGAUCGCAAGACCUCGCGCAAUUGGAGCGGCCGAUAUCAGAUUGGGUAGUUGGUGGGGUAAAGGCUCACCAAGCCAACGAUCUGUAGCUGGUCUGAGAGGACGACCAGCCACACUGGGACUGAGACACGGCCCAGACUCCUACGGGAGGCAGCAGUGGGGAAUUUUGGACAAUGGACGCAAGUCUGAUCCAGCCAUGCCGCGUGCGGGAAGAAGGCCUUCGGGUUGUAAACCGCUUUUGUCAGGGAAGAAACGCUCUGGGUUAAUACCUCGGGGUAAUGACGGUACCUGAAGAAUAAGCACCGGCUAACUUCGUGCCAGCAGCCGCCGUAAUAC